ACUCACCUUAUUAAGUCAGGCUCAAAACUAACUUGACUCAGCCUGACGCAGCAUGGCUUAGUGCCGACUGGGUGUAAUUCAAUGUAAGUUCGCUCCUACACAGCUAUUCUCUCGAACUCGCUAGAUCCACGGCCUCCCUGGCAAGGUUCCUAGGAUUGCCGAACCGGAAUUGACCCCAAACUAGACCUGACUCGAUCUUGGGCUAUGCAGGUUGAUUCGCUGACUUGAUUCAGCGGAAACAAUAGCUAUGGUUGGGUCCACUAUGCAAUCCAUCGGCCUGAGCCCCACAUAAUGCUUUUCAGGACGCCCCUCAAUUACCAGCAGCAUUAGGAGAAUAAUCAACAAAUGGUCAUUGGCUGUCUUUUAUCGAGGAUCAUACGGCAUGUCUUUAGAUAAAUGAACAGUUUUGCAUAUGCUCUAUCUAGCAUGGGUGCAGAUUCUUCCCUCUGUUACAUGCCAUACAUUACAAGACUACUUACUAUAUUAAUGGUUAUGAUUAACUGUACAUUUUUAUUGAUGGAUGUAGCUGUUGUUUUUGGCUUGAUUUACCCUGGUCUAUCUUGGCUCUUGAUUUAGUUCUCGUGCUGAACUUUGAAAUAUGGGAGUGAGCUAUAUAGCUCAAGGUUACUGAUGUUUAGCUUUCUUCAAGCACCAAUGAUGUUUUUCCUUUUUUCUGAAAAAAUAAAUAAAUCUAGAGAGUGAGUUUUAGUUUUAACUUGUGCAUCUGCCUUUUUUUUAAAUGAACCAUUUAUUCCACUAUGCAUAUAAAAGAAAAGAUCCCUCAGUUCUGUAUUUGAUUGUGGUGGAAAAAAUGAACUACAGAAUGGUCUGGAUAAUCCAAGUACCAAUUUCCUUUCCACAGUGCAAGUGGCAAAACUCAGUAGAUUUUUAUUUGUUGCAACUCAUGUAGCACUAAAUCAAUUGGUUUAAAUUGAAUCUUGUGUCCGUAAGAUUCAGAAACAGAAAACUAAGAGUAGUUGAAUUCUGAGUUGCAAGGUGCAUCUUGCUGAAGAACCUGUUAAGGUGACUUGGUUAUGGAUAUGAAAUCAUGGCUAUAAUUAGGAAAAUAAUCCCUGCAAGAUCCAAGGCGCACUUCUUGCUUAAUCUUUUCCCUAAAUAGCCUAAUUCUAAUUUCUACAUUAUAAUGGUUUGCCAGUUAGGUAUAAUCAGGAUUUUCAUGUUGAUUUUUUUUUUUCACGAAUGCUUACUUCAGUUUUCACUUCAUUGACAUUUCUCUGUUUUCCCCAUUUGGUUUAGCCUCGUGCUAUUCCAUAUCCUGGAGUGUUUUUUUAUUUUUUUAUUUUUUUUAUUUUUUAUUUUUUAAUUUUUAGUUUGGGAUUUUCUAAGUCAGAAAUUCAGAAUAUGAAUAUUUCUCAGCCUUAUUAUUAGCUUUUCUUUUUCUCCUUUUUCUUUAUUGUCACCCUCCCUGAUAUGAUGGAUAUACAGGUCAAUGAUGGAGGGUAUUUGGGUUAGUUGGCAUCCACAUAACCUAUCUGGACCAUCCAUUAGGUGGAGUCUGAAACUAAUUGCAUUGAAGAUCAGUGUACGAGAUUGAAAGUUUGAAUCCCUCUAGUCUCAUACCAUGCUUGCCACCCAUUUUACAUCUCUAGUUGGAUCAAUGCUUAGCUACUUAAUGAGAGUCUGAUACAAAAGACACUUUGGACCAUGUUUUGUGGCCCAAGGAAUGUGGAUAUGCAGCUGUUAUCACGGAAGUUCUGUCAGCUCCCUUGUCACAGUACACGUGGCAAAUGGUGGCGAUCAGGGUUGUUGAUUUGGUGGCCACCAUGUAAAUGGGCCAUAAGCCCUAAUACAAGUCAUAAUUUUCUAGUUGAAUGUGGAUUGUUUCUUUUGCAUCCCAAUAUAGGAUAACUACCACAGACCAAUCCCCUUUCCUGUUGGGAUAUGGUCUUACCCAUGUAAUGGCCCAUCAGAUCAACAUUCCCAAUCAUCACAUGUAGCUACAUAGAACUUCUAUGACGAGCUGCAUGUUAUCAUUCCUGAUUUCUUGUGGCUUAUAUAUAUAUAUAUAUAUAUAUUACUAACUGGUAAUCUUGCUUCCUAGGAGGAGGAAACCAAGUAAAAAGAUGCCAAGGCAAGCACCUAGUGUUUCCUCAUCUGCAUGUUGGAUUGGUGCACAAAACUGACUGUUGAGUGCUGACUGUAUUUGUUCAUUUGCAGGAACCCGAUUUACUCCUUCUGGAUGAGCCUACCAAUCACCUUGAUCUAGAUACAAUUGAGUGGCUUGAGGGUUACGUUAACAAGCAGGAUGUUCCUAUGGUCAGAAUAUCUAAUGAAAGAGCUUUCCUUGAUCAGCUGUGUACAAAAAUUGUGGAAACAGAUAUGGGAGUAUCAAGGACAUGAUGGGAAUUAUUCUGAAUAUAUAUUAGCAAAAGCGGCAUGGAUAGAAGCUCAAAAUGCAGCAUGGGAGAAGCAGCAGAACCAAAUUGAGUAGACGAAAGACAUAAUAAACAGGUUAGGUGCUGUAGCCGAUGCUGGCCGUGCGUCCAGUGCAGAAAAGAAGCUGGAAAAACUUCAAGACAAGGACCAAGUUGAAAAGCCAUUUCAACGGAAACAAAUAAGGUCAGGUUUCCUGCGCAUGGAACAAUUGGAAGAUAUGUAGUAAUGAUUAAGAAUCUAGAAUUUGGAUAUGAUGACAAGGUGUGUAAUUUUGUUAUGUGAUACAAAUUUAUUUAAUUACUAUGGCAUUUCAUUUUAUGAUUGGGG